UACGGGGGGGGGCAAGCGUUUGUUCGGAAUUACUGGGCGUAAAGGGCUCGUAGGCGGCCAACUAAGUCAGACGUGAAAUCCCUCGGCUUAACCGGGGAACUGCGUCUGAUACUGGAUGGCUUGAGUUUGGGAGAGGGAUGCGGAAUUCCAGGUGUAGCGGUGAAAUGCGUAGAUAUCUGGAGGAAUACCGGUGGCGAAGGCGGCAUCCUGGACCGGCAUUGACGCUGAUGAGCGAAAGCUAGGGGAGCAAACGGGG
rnacentral:rRNA from 1 species